rnacentral:rRNA from 1 species
AGUGAACGCUGGCGGUAGGCCUAACACAUGCAAGUCGAACGGCAGCACAGUAAGAGCUUGCUCUUACGGGUGGCGAGUGGCGGACGGGUGAGGAAUACAUCGGAAUCUACUUUUUCGUGGGGGAUAACGUAGGGAAACUUACGCUAAUACCGCAUACGACCUACGGGUGAAAGCAGGGGAUCUUCGGACCUUGCGCGAUUGAAUGAGCCGAUGUCGGAUUAGCUAGUUGGCGGGGUAAAGGCCCACCAAGGCGACGAUCCGUAGCUGGUCUGAGAGGAUGAUCAGCCACACUGGAACUGAGACACGGUCCAGACUCCUACGGGAGGCAGCGAUGGGGAAUAUUGGACAAUGGGCGCAAGCCUGAUCCAGCCAUACCGCGUGGAUGAAGAAGGCCUUCGGGUUGUAAAGCCCUUUUGUUGGGAAAGAAAAGCAGCAGGUUAAUACCCCGCUGUUCUGACGGUACCCAAAGAAUAAGCACCGGCUAACUUCGUG